rnacentral:rRNA from 1 species
UUCUUAGAGUUGACCUCGGAUCAGGUAGGAAUACCCGCUGAACUUAA